rnacentral:rRNA from 1 species
GACAGAGGGUGCAAACGUUGCUCGGAAUUACUGGGCGUAAAGGGCGUGUAGGCGGGAAGGCAAGUCGGGCGUGAAAGCCCCGGGCUUAACCUGGGAACUGCGUUUGAUACGGCAGGGCUAGAGUUCGGGAGAGGAGAGUGGAAUUCCCAGUGUAGAGGUGAAAUUCGUAGAUAUUGGGAAGAACACCGAUGGCGAAGGCAGCCAUCUGGACCGACACUGACGCUGAGGCGCGAAAGCGUGGGGAGCAAACAGG